rnacentral:lncRNA from 1 species
UAACUCUUUCUUGACAUAAUUAANNNNNNNNNNAAAAUGGCACUAAAUAAACAUCUGUUUUAAUCUGUAUAAAAUGUAAAUCAGUUUGACACUGCAUUUUUGGUAGGUGUGCUAAUUUCUGCCCAUGGCAGUUUAAAACAUCAAAAACUGAAUUCUGGACAGAUUCAAGCCUUGAUACACUGUGGGGUUUUUUCUUAUUCUUUCUUUCAUUUUUUUUGGUCCUGAUUUUUUUCCCCAUUGUGAUGUUUAGUAACGUAGAAUUUAAAAUGUAGUUUUAAAUAAAGUUUGGACUUAUCUGUAAACUUAUCUUUUUUGAAAAUUAUGUUGAAUUCUAUACAGCAAGUCAUUAUUCUAUAUAAUUAGGCUGUUCAGAGAAGAGCAACCGUCAAGAGUUAGAGAAAUAUACUAUUUAUUAUAAAGCCCGGCCUUCAGGCCAGGCUUCCAAAUAAUGCCAGUGUUGCUGCUAUUGAGUCUAAUAUUCUUUUAGAUACCUGCAAGUCUUAUUCCUUUGCAAGAAUAGGGCAGGUUAUAAAGGUAUCCAGGAUUUCUGAGAAGUUAUUAUAGAAUAUAAAUAUUCUAUUCAAAUUGGAUAAUAAGUUUAGAAUACUUGUCCUUAGUACCUAGAAUUUACAUAAUUAUCUAUUAGAUAAAUAUUUUCUAGGAUUUCUAUUCAUAUCUGUGUUGCCUCAGUUUAAAUGUUAAAAGAGAGAACAUUUUCUAUAACUAGAGAAUAUUUCCGCUUAAACAAGGAAAGUAAUAUUGUGAUUACUUUUAAAAGGAAAACCAAGCUCUUUAAAGUAGGGAUUAAUAGAACUAAAUUUACGAACCAGAGCACUAAGGUCCUGUUUGCUUUUGGACAACCUUGCUUUCUGAGACGAUAAUUUAGGCCAAAACGUAGCAGUUGUCUCUGUGUAGUGAGAGAGAAGCAGGUUUGCAGAUGAAGUACUGUAUGGAGUAAUGGGAAUCUACGUGACCUCUUUAUCACUAAGCAAAUCAGCUUUUCAAAGGAGGUGUACUUCUAGAUCCC